UCUUAGUUUGAGAUUAGUACUACUCCUUUUGAGAGCUUAGAUAAAAGAGAGUUGAUUUCCAUAAAUGAUUGCAGAUAUGCUAGUAAUUUGAAUAGUAUAUGAUGUGGGGGAAAAUUUGCAUUUUGAAUAGAGUAUAUACGUAAAUAUCCCAUCAACUUUAUUAUACAUAUAAUGAGUAUUUUUCAUACGAAUGCGAUCGAAUUUCUCCUAAUAUUAUUAUUGUUAACGUCAAGAUCUUCUGCCACGUCCCAAUCGCGUAAGACGCCUUGAUCCUACACAGUAAACACGAUAAACACCACAAACUUGACGGCUGUUCCGUCGGGGGAUAGCUCAGGCGUGAGAGUCAGUAUACGUGUUCACAAGGUUAACAAUGGAGGAAUGUAAUGUCUAGUGUCUAGAGAGAGAUCAUAAUUUCCUGUUGUGUGUAUGUGAGAAUAUGAAAAUGAAAGUGUAUGAGAAUGUACCUCUUUGUGAAGACUUCCUUGCUAGGUUAUACUCUCUUUGCCUG
rnacentral:lncRNA from 1 species